rnacentral:rRNA from 1 species
UACGUAGGGUGCUAGCGUUAUCCGGAUUUACUGGGCGUAAAGCGUCCGUCGGCGUCUUGGUAAGUUCUUCGUUCAAGCCUGGGGCUCAACUCCAGAAAAGCGGGGAAAACUGCCAGGAUUGAGUCUGUUUGGGGGAACUAGAAUUCUCGGUGGAGGGGUGAAAUCCGUAGAUAUCGAGAGGAAUACCAGUCGCGAAGGCGGGUUCCUAAAACAGUACUGACGCUCAUGGACGAAAGUCUGGGUAGCAAAA